AGUCGAACGGCAGCGCGGGGCAACCUGGCGGCGAGUGGCGAACGGGUGAGUAAUAUAUCGGAACGUACCCUGGAGUGGGGGAUAACGUAGCGAAAGUUACGCUAAUACCGCAUACGAUCUAAGGAUGAAAGUGGGGGAUCGCAAGACCUCAUGCUCCUGGAGCGGCCGAUAUCUGAUUAGCUAGUUGGUAGGGUAAAAGCCUACCAAGGCAUCGAUCAGUAGCUGGUCUGAGAGGACGACCAGCCACACUGGAACUGAGACACGGUCCAGACUCCUACGGGAGGCAGCAGUGGGGAAUUUUGGACAAUGGGCGAAAGCCUGAUCCAGCAAUGCCGCGUGAGUGAAGAAGGCCUUCGGGUUGUAAAGCUCUUUUGUCAGGGAAGAAACGGUGAGGGCUAAUAUCCCUUGCUAAUGACGGUACCUGAAGAAUAAGCACCGGCUAACUACGUGCCAGCAGCCGCGGUAAUACGUAGGGUGCAAGCGUUAAUCGGAAUUACUGGGCGUAAAGCGUGCGCAGGCGGUUUUGUAAGUCUGUCGUGAAAUCCCCGGGCUCAACCUGGGAAUGGCGAUGGAGACUGCAAGGCUAGAGUUUGGCAGAGGGGGGUAGAAUUCCACGUGUAGCAGUGAAAUGCGUAGAUAUGUGGAGGAACACCGAUGGCGAAGGCAGCCCCCUGGGUCAAGACUGACGCUCAUGCACGAAAGCGUGGGGAGCAAACAGGAUUAGAUACCCUGGUAGUCCACGCCCUAAACGAUGUCUACUAGUUGUCGGGUCUUAAUUGAC
rnacentral:rRNA from 1 species